GACGAACGCUGGCGGCGUGCUUAACACAUGCAAGUCGAACGGAACCACCCUGCUUUUGUGCGCUGCUCGAGGUGCGAACGGGUGAGUAACACGUGAGUAACCUGCCCUUGCCUUUGGGGUAACCUCAGGAAGCUGAGUCUAAUACCGGAUAGGAUCUCCCGCUGCAUGGUGGGGGUUGGAUAGUUUCGGCGGUUGGGGAUGGAAUGGCGGCUUAUCAGCUUGGUGGUUGGGUAGUCGAUUACCAAGGCUUUGACGGGUAGCCGACCUGAGCGGGUGAACGGACAAAUUAGGACUGAGAUAAGGCCCAGACUCGAACGGGAGGCAGCAGUGGGGAAUAUUGCACAAGGGGAGGAAGCCUGAUGCAGUAAAGCAGCGUGCGGGAUGAGGGCCUUCGGGUAGUAAACCGAUGUCGCCUGUGACGAAGCGUGAGUGACGGUAAUGGGUGAAUAAGCACCGGCUAACUACGUG
rnacentral:rRNA from 1 species